rnacentral:rRNA from 1 species
GUGGUCCUGGUGACGUGUGAGCGCUCAGUGCUGGCAUCCAUACCGGGUGUUUUGUGCUCCAGGUCGUAUCCCUGGGAGAGUGUACCCGGUCACUCGUGUAAAAGUGUGUGUAUUUGGUGGCGCCAAAGUGUAUGUGUGUCCCUGCGAUUUCGGGUGUCCCGCGUGUGCCAAUGAGUGUGUGCGGGACGAUAAAAACCUGUGCGUUAGUGGGCCGGCUUUGUGUGUGCAGAUGUGCUAUGGUGAGCGCACUCCACCUGUGUGAGUGUUAACAUUGUAGAGGAUACGCGCGACGGUCUUCACUGCUUAUUCGAUUUGCAGCGUGUGCAAUGGGCCCUGGAUAACAUGUGGUCAGUGUACGGUUUCCUCACUCCCGCUGGCCUUUGUGCUGCGGGCAACGUGCAGGGCGUUGCUGAUUUCACCCAGGGAUAAACCUUGCAUGCGUGUGAUGUACCUGUCUCGUCCUCUGUCGUCUUACAAUGCACUUGUGCCACUUACCUCGCUGGAAACGGCUUGCGUUAAGUGUUAGUGGUGAGUGCGCGAUAUAAGCCAUGCCAAAAAAGUCUGCAAUUUCUACCCCGGGAGUCAUGCCUCUUCCACGUAUGGGUAUCGGUUAACAGAAACAUUUGGGGGCAUUAGUACUUGGCCGCGAGAGGUGAAAUUCUAAGACCGGUCAAAGACUAACAACUGCGAAAGCAUUUGUCAAGAGUGUUUUCAUUGAUCAAGAACGUCGGUUUGGGGAUCGAAGAUGAUCAGAUACCGUCGUAGUCCAAACUGUAAACUAUGCCAACCAGGGCUCAGGCCGGAUCGUUUAUAUUGAAAUUGCUUCAUAUUACUGAUCCAGGUUGGGCCCCCCGGGAAACCUAAAGUUUUUGGGUUCCGGGGGGAGUAUGGUUGCAAGGCUGAAACUUAAAGGAAUUGACGGAAGGGCACCACCAGGAGUGGAGCCUGCGGCCUAAUUUGACUCAACACGGGGAAUCUCACCAGGUCCGGACAUCGGAAGGAUUGACAGACUGAUAGAUCUUUCAUGAUUCGGUGAAUGGUGGUGCAUGGCCGUUCUUGGUUGGUGGAGUGAUUUGUCUGGUUUAUUCCGUGAACGAGCGCAACCACAGCCUCUAUUUUGGCCGUACCAAGUGUCCGUGUUGAUGUGUGCCUUAACGGGUGUGCGUCGACGCGCGCACGGUGCUGGUGAAAGCCGGUGCCGUGUGUGUAUGCCGUUGACCGAGCUGGCGCGCAUAGUCGCCUUGUGUUGUUGCACGUGUGUGUAUGCUCAGCAGUAGCAAUUGUGUUUUGUUCUGGGAUCACAGCUGAUGCGCAUUCAACGGUAGUGUGUCUCGCUGACAAUGUUGCUGGCAGCGAGUGGCUAGAUGGCGUUUGUGAUGAUACGUCAGACUGGCGCUGUACAGUUGUCAGAGUGUAGGCUGCUACCGGUGUGUUGGCUGCCUAGGCAAGGUGUUUUUGCAAUCACGCUGUUGAGUAUGUGUGCUGUGCGGUGUCGCAAGGUGAUGCGCUGGUAUCUUAAUCGGUCAAUGGGUGUUGGUGCGCCUUCAUAGAGGGACUACCGGUGGCAAACCGGGGGAAGUGUGGCAAUAGCAGGUCAGUGAUGCCCUUAGAUGUUCUGGGCUGCACGCGCGCUACAAUGGCGACGUCAAUGAGUGUGUUUUCUGCAUCGAAAGGUGUGGGUAAUCUUUGAAUCGUCGCCGUGCUGGGGAUUGAGCCUUGAAAUUAUUGCUCAUGAACCUGGAAUUCCUCGUAAGUACGAGUCACCAGCUCGUGCUGAAUACGUCUCUGCCCUUUGUACACACCGCCCGUCGCUACUACCGAUUGAAUGAUUUGGUGAGGGCAUGGGAUUGAUCGGUCUCGUCAUCUCUUUAUGGGACGUGUAGGCUGGUCGAGAGCCUGUCCAAGCUGCAUCAGUCAGAGGAA